AGCAUGUCAACUCGUUCAUUUUGAGAGGCAGAUGGCAGAUACCGUGAUUAGCAUUUUCCAGUCCUUUCCUUACAAAGGUGACUUGCCAGAUGUGGCAUCUGGAGUUGUUUUGGAACAGAAUCUCUUCUGACAUCAAUAGACAGGCAAUAUUAUGUUAAGAACAUGAUAAAAUGCCAGCAGUUUCAUAAUGGCACCAACCAAAUUGUAAUUUCUGCUUCAGAAAUUGGUCUUUAUUUUGCCUAGUCCGUUCCUAUGUUCAAAUUAGAUGAAGUUUAAUAUACUGUAAAAUUUAGUGUAUUCUAUCCUUUUCAACCAGCAAUUUUUUUAAAAAAAAAAAACCCUCUUCUGACGUGUUCUCUGGUUUCAAUGCAUGUACGGCCUGUGCGGUGAUUUCAGGAGACAGGGGCGAAGCUAGGCUUUAUUUCACCUGGAUCAAAGACCCAAGUUUGGCACACACGUAACACACAUUUGCGGACAUAAAUACACAGGUUGGGACAUCACGGAAGUGGCCUCGAAAGCUUGUGCAAAGAUAUCCUCGAAAGCUUGCGUAAGGAAAUCUGUUAGGUGCCACAAGGCUCCCAAAUGCAUCUACAACUCUGAAAGAAAUCCUGAUUACGUGGAAAAUGUGCAGGGUUGUACUGAAGACCGGUUUCUGAGAUGUAUUUCACCUAUAAAGGUCGGACAUUUCUGAAAAGGCUCCCCCCACCCGGAGUUGUCAGCUUAUCAACUUCAGCCCCCCCCCCCAAUACUAGAUGGUUGCAUCUGCUCUCCCAAUCUUCACCAGGAUAUUAAAAACUCUGUUACAUUAACAGGUAUUUAAUGUAAGCAGCUAUCUGUCAGUGCCCCCACCAUCUUAGAAAUUAAGAUAGAAACUGGAAUAUUUCAAGGCUAUUCUUAUGUGACACAGCCUCCACCCCAUUCAGCUUGCAAUAAGGAGAUGACAAUGCUAAACUAUGUUGCAGGGUUUUUAUAUGCCACUGUUAAUUCCCACCCUUGCGAUAUAGGCAUAAUAUUGUUAUAGGAAUUCUAAGGUCUCAUAUGUAAGUAUAUAAACCACGUGUCUGAAAUAGUGCAGGAAAACAACCCUGAAGCCAUUUUGACUCUCCCAAAUUGACCUCAAAUAUUUCUCUGCAAGGAGGAAGGCAAUAGGAAAAGCUUUCCAAUUGUCUUUGGAUUGUAGGGGCUUACACCUCCCUGUAAAUACAGUCUGGCAAGUAUCUGUUAAGCUGAGCACACUAUCAGUAUGCGUAUGGGAUUCAGGAACUAAGUAUUUACCAUCUCAAAGGAAUGGCCAGGAUGCCCAGGUAAAAGCAAUCAGUGACCAUUAUUAGGUAUCCUGGCAGACAGGUUUUCUGCUGUAGGCCUCAGUGAUGUAUGUAUGUAUGUUUUGGGGGGUGGUCUUGAGCUACAGGGGAGGCAAUUUUCAAAUGUUUAUAUAAGAGCUUUCAUACCAUUGUUCUAGGUUCCUCUCCUACCUCCCUGUGUGGGGUGAGCAGGGGACCCUGUUGCAACAGUUUAAUAAAGAUUAUGUUUACUAGCUGCUUUGCUUCUCAAUAUUCUCUGGUUGGCCUCUGUUAUUUUCUCCUACCGAUAAAGAACCUACUUAAGGACUCUACCUUCUAGCACAGGAAGCAUUCACAAAUUAAAAGAACUUUAAAACCUCACCUUUUUCCCACACAAGCAGACUUCUGCUUUGCUUCUACUUUUUGAGGAGUGUGUGGGGAAAUAUGCUCCUUGCAAAUAACUGCAAUAAAAUCUUCCUGGAUUUCUACACAGGAUCCCUCCAGACUGUUUAUUUUGCUUUGGGUGGUGUAUUCUGCAACAUGUAAUUGAUACGUUAACAGCGCAUUAGUGGUGGAUUUAUAAUUGUCAGCACAUCAGUCUGUUUUAUUAGUUCUGCAAAGCUUUCCCUGUGUUGUCACAUUAUUUCUGUCUGGAGGGAUUCCUGUUAAGUUUCUAAAUUACAGAAAUAAGUGUCCUAGCUUUCUAUGUUAUUUCUGGCUUUGGGGUUUCUGUAUUUUAAUCUUUUUUUAUAUGUACUGGCUGGCUUGUUUUUAUUAUUAUUGGAAAGCUUUAAAGAUGAAAAAUAACUGCUACUGUUUACAGAUGGUGACCAUGGCGACCACCCUUUCUGCGAGUGCUGCCUGAAGGGACGGGGUGACAUCCUCAAUGCGCCCUAUCUUCAUGCCAGAUCAAGUCAGAGCUCUGAGGGCUGACUGGGCUACAGGCCCAAGAGUCUUUGUUCUAUUUCCACCUGUAGCCUGCAACCUGAUGUGAAGGGCAGUGAUUCCCAGCUCCUUGCAUGUCUGAGCUACAUCCUGGGCAGCCAACAUAGCAGCAUAAGGAGAAGACUCAUCCUUGUCAGCCUUCACUUUCAUGCCACCAGUUACUCAGCAGAUUGUUUCCUUGCCAGACAGGUCAGUUACAUGGACAAAAGUCUCACUGAAGGAAGUGAAGAUGUGGCAGACUCCAAACACAUUCUCUCCUUCAGCCACCUGUGGUCCCAGACUGAUUACCUGUUCUUCCUUCUUUUCCUUGCCCUUAUGAGGUGCCAUUUUCGCACGUCUCCACAGGCAGCAACCAACACCGGAAAGGAAGAGCUAUACUGGCCUGUUUUGUACAACAAGGCAAGUCAAACUUUGACUUACUGGAACUACGUGAACCUGUGAGCUCCCAGGAAGGAACUCAUGGCUGCUUUGUUUCUCCCUGGACCUUUUUGUACUUGCAACCACACUGAGCCAAGGUUCAUUUUUUAAAAAAGACCAGGGAGAAGAAAACAAAUCAGCUGAAGGUUCCUCUCCAGGAGCCCAUACAUGGCCCCAGGCAGCUAGUCUGGUUUACAGUGCUUGGUGAACCGAGCCACCACUACAAUGUCUUCUUUGCUGUUUUAUUGUUUUCAGUCAAAUUAAUUUUAUUUGAUCUAUUUGUAACAGCAACAUGCAUUUUAUAAUUGACUGGCAAUUAGCUUCUGGGUUCAAUUCAAAGUGCAGGUUUUGACCUAUAAAGCCUUAAAUGGCUCAGGACUGCAUCUCUCCAGAUGAACCAACCCAGACUCUGCAAUCAUAUUCUGAGGCCCUUCUUCAUAUGCCUCCACAAGAAUUCUGGAGGGUGGCAACAUGAGACCUUUUCCGCAGUGGAACCCCACUUGUGGAAUGCUCUCCCCAGGAAAGUUUGGCUGACACUUUCAUUAUAUACCUUUAGAUGCCAGAUGAAAGUAUUCUUCUUCAGCCAGGCCUUUGGCUGAUUACUAUCCGAUACCCAUUUUAAAUGUGGGAUGUGGGAUGCGGGAG